rnacentral:rRNA from 1 species
AUUGAACGCUGGCGGCAGGCCUAACGCAUGCAAGUCGAGCGGCAGCGGAAAGUAGCUUGCUACUUUGCCGGCGAGCGGCGGACGGGUGAGUAAUGUCUGGGAAACUGCCUGAUGGAGGGGGAUAACUACUGGAAACGGUAGCUAAUACCGCAUAACGUCGCAAGACCAAAGAGGGGGACCUUCGGGCCUCCUGCCAUCAGAUGUGCCCAGAUGGGAUUAGCUAGUAGGUGGGGUAACGGCUCACCUAGGCGACGAUCCCUAGCUGGUCUGAGAGGAUGACCAGCCACACUGGAACUGAGACACGGUCCAGACUCCUACGGGAGGCAGCAGUGGGGAAUAUUGCACAAUGGGCGCAAGCCUGAUGCAGCCAUGCCGCGUGUAUGAAGAAGGCCUUAGGGUUGUAAAGUACUUUCAGCGGGGAGGAAGGUGUUGAGGUUAAUAACCUCAGCAAUUGACGUUACCCGCAGAAGAAGCACCGGCUAACUCCGUGCCAGCCGCCGCCGUAA